rnacentral:lncRNA from 1 species
AGUUAAUCAUUCAAAGAAUAAAAUUUAAAUAUUUUAACACAUAAUUGUCGCAUCCGCGAAAAACAACCGGCGGGCUGAAACAAAAAUAACACAGAGCCGCCACCGUGCGUUAUUUAUCCCAAAAGAGGGAAAGGAAACUCUCAGAGUAAACCUGGGAAAAGCAAGGUCUCGCGACCAAAGAGAAAGGGUACGGGAGUCAGUUACGCAAGGGGAAGGUAUUAGCACCCCUCACGUCCGUCGUACUCGACGGGAUCCACGCUCUAAAAGAAAGAAAAGGUUGCUAAA